rnacentral:misc_RNA from 1 species
CAGAGUUCAUGCCCUCACGGGUAGAUCUCCCACCCUUGGAUAUUAUACCUUAGUUGCUUUGGCAGGCCGGGGCAACCCCCGGGGCUUAGGCCUUGGUGUGCCUGUCAGAGGAAACAAACUCUGUUUUUAGUGGUGUCUGAGUACUAUAUAAUAGUUA